UACGUAGGGCGCAAGCGUUGUCCGGAAUUAUUGGGCGUAAAGAGCUCGUAGGCGGUCUGUCGCGUCCGUUGUGAAAACUCGAGGCUCAACCUCGGGCUUGCAGUGGAUACGGGCAGACUAGAGUGCGGUAGGGGAGACUGGAAUUCCUGGUGUAGCGGUGGAAUGCGCAGAUAUCAGGAGGAACACCGAUGGCGAAGGCAGGUCUCUAGGCCGCAACUGACGCUGAGGAGCGAAAGCAUGGGGAGCGAACAGG
rnacentral:rRNA from 1 species